rnacentral:rRNA from 2 species
AUAACACAUGCAAGUCGAACGAUGAAAACUAGUUGAUCUCUUCGGAGUGAAACUAGUUGGAUUAGUGGCGAACGGGUGAGUAACGCGUGAGUAACCUGCCUUACACAAGGGGAUAGCCUCUGGAAACGGAGAAUAAUACCCUAUGAUAUUACAGUCUCGCAUGGGAAAGUAAUCAAAGUGUUUAGCGGUGUAAGAUGGACUUGCGUCUGAUUAGCUAGUUGGUGAGAUAACAGCUCACCAAGGCAACGAUCAGUAGCCGGCUUGAGAGAGUGUACGGCCACAUUGGGACUGAGACACGGCCCAGACUCCUACGGGAGGCAGCAGUGGGGAAUUUUGCACAAUGGGGGCAACCCUGAUGCAGCGACGCCGCGUGAUUUAUGAAGGCCUUCGGGUUGUAAAAAUCUUUUGUAUAGGAAGAAAAUGACAGUACUAUACGAAUAAGGUCCGGCUAAUUACGUGCCAGCAGCCGCGGUAAUACGUAAGGACCGAGCGUUGUCCGGAAUCAUUGGGCGUAAAGGGUACGUAGGCGGCCACUUAAGUUAGAAGUCAAAGGCUAUAGCUCAACUAUAGUAAGCUUCUAAAACUGUGUGGCUUGAGAGAUGGAAGGGAAAGUGGAAUUCCUAGUGUAGCGGU